rnacentral:rRNA from 1 species
CGACGGAGUCAAGAGAAGCUUGCUUUUCUUGACUUAGUGGCGAACGGGUGAGUAACGCGUGAGUAACCUGCCCUGGAGUGGGGGACAACAGUUGGAAACGACUGCUAAUACCGCAUAAGCCCACGGAUCCGCAUGGAUCUGCGGGAAAAGGAUUUAUUCGCUUCAGGAUGGACUCGCGUCCAAUUAGCUAGUUGGUGAGGUAACGGCCCACCAAGGCGACGAUUGGUAGCCGGACUGAGAGGUUGAACGGCCACAUUGGGACUGAGACACGGCCCAGACUCCUACGGGAGGCAGCAGUGGGGGAUAUUGCACAAUGGGGGAAACCCUGAUGCAGCGACGCCGCGUGGAGGAAGAAGGUUUUCGGAUUGUAAACUCCUGUCGUUAGGGACGAUAAUGACGGUACCUAACAAGAAAGCACCGGCUAACUACGUGCCAGCAGCCGCGGUAAAACGUAGGGUGCAAGCGUUGUCCGGAAUUACUGGGUGUAAAGGGAGCGCAGGCGGACCGGCAAGUUGGAAGUGAAAACUAUGGGCUCAACCCAUAAAUUGCUUUCAAAACUGCUGGCCUUGAGUAGUGCAGAGGUAGGUGGAAUUCCCGGUGUAGCGGUGGAAUGCGUAGAUAUCGGGAGGAACACCAGUGGCGAAGGCGACCUACUGGGCACCAACUGACGCUGAGGCUCGAAAGCAUGGGUAGCAA